rnacentral:rRNA from 1 species
UACGGAGGGUGCAAGCAUUAAUCGGAUUUAUUGGGCGUAAAGGGCGCGUAGGCGGAUCUGAAAGUCAGAUGUGAAAUUUCGAAGCUCAACUUCGGAGCUGCAUUUGAAACUCCAAAUCUAGAGGAAUGGCGGAGAAAAUGGAAUUCCACGUGUAGCGGUGAAAUGCGUAGAUAUGUGGAAGAACACCAGUGGCGAAAGCGGUUUUCUAGCUUUCUCCUGACGCUGAGGCGCGAGAGCAAGGGGAGCAAACAGG